AAAGGGACUCCAAGUCUUUCCCAAUGGCUACUUGACAGCCUGCCAAAGGGGUCCAGCGUGGGAGUUGAUCCUUUUCUUAUUUCCGUGUGUGAGUGGGAUCGAAUGUUUAAGGAGCUCAAGGAACAUAACAUUGAAUUGAUUCCUGUCACACAAAACCUGGUUGAUCUUGUUUGGCCAUCCAGACCACAGCCACAACCAAGGAAGUUGAUUGUCCUCGAUAUUUCUUACUCAGGUAGAAGUUGGCAAGAUAAAAUCAUAGCCUUACGCGGGUUCCUGAAGGCCAGGUCAGCGACUGCCGUUGUAAUCGAAAAACUGGAUGAAAUAGCGUGGCUUUUGAAUCUCCGAGGAUUUGAUAACAAGUAUACCCCAGUUUUCUUCUCCUAUGUUACAGUUACAAAGGACAGUGCCUCACUGUUCAUAGAUAAUGACAAGGUGACGCCAUCUGUGAAAAGACAUCUGAAAGUUAAAAAUUGUAAAGGCCGGAAUGAAGAGCACCUGUGCGUACAACUUAAGCCAUAUGAUGCUAUCAAGGAAGUUGUGAAAACGCUAGCCGAAUGCAAAACUGCUAAAAUAUUGGUUAGCACAUCCUCAAGCCACGGAAUAAGGAUGAAGAUUCCCAAGGAAAAUUUGUUAAUAGACGAGUCGCCAGUUGCUUUACCAAAAGCAAUAAAAAAUCCAACAGAAAUUCGUGGAAUGAAAAAUGCCAAUGUAAAGGAUUGCGCGGCGCUUUGUCAGUUCUUUGCUUGGAUUGAACGUGAGAUUUCAUUGAAUUCUACAAAGUUGACAGAAUUGACGACUGAGGCAAAGUUGUUGUACUUUAGAACGCUGGAGAAGAAUUUUAUGAGUCCAAGUUUUGCUACAAUUUCUGGCUUUGGACCCAACAGCGCCAUAAUCCAUUACAAAGCAAAUCAAUUUACUAACGCUCGGAUCGACAAAAGCAGUGUUUAUUUGUUGGAUUCAGGAGGACAGUACUUAGAUGGGACAACAGACACAACAAGGACGGUUCAUUUUGGAGUUCCAACCAAACACCAGAAGGAUUGCUACACAAGAGUCUUAAAGGGACAUAUUGACAUUGCCAGUGCAGUUUUUCCCAAUGACACGUAUGGAAGGACAUUAGAUGUGUUUGCACGACAACCUCUUUGGAAAGUGGGGCUGGAUUAUCGACAUGGCACGGGACACGGAAUAGGACACUUCCUAAACAUUCACGAGGGACCCCAGUGUAUAGCUCCAGGAUUUCCUAUCGAAGACGAGAAAAUUUUAAUGCCUGGAAUGAUUUUAUCUGACGAACCGGGAUAUUAUGAAGAUGGUCGCUUUGGAAUUCGACUUGAAACAGCUGUCCUUGUGAAAGUUGCCAAAACAAAGCUUCUCUAAAGCAGUGGAAGUUCACAGGUUUGUAUCUCGCAAACUUUUGCUAUCUUAACUUAAACUCAUCUUCAUUCAUCGACCACGUUGCAGGAACGUGUGCAAUAGAGAAUUGGUACAAAUCCGCGCUUUCCUUUACUCUAAACAUUUUUGCCAUUAUCUCAUUGGUGAUCGCGUGGUCUCGCAUAAAUCUCAACGUAUCCCGCCAGGGUUGCAUUUCAUCAAAUGCUCCCCUGAACUGAUCGAAAACACCAUAACCGUUGAGACUUGCUUGUCACUCCCUCACCCUUUCGCCCCGUGGACCAAACAUCUAAUCUGCAACCGACUUCCCUGGGAUUAAAUAAGCUCUAAGAUAACAUAACACGUGUGAAAAGCUUUCCUUUUGCAGUAACAAGAGGGUGUUAUACUUUUGAAGAAUAUCUUAUAAAAAAUUAAGAGUUGUAAGUAGAGUUAAGCGAUAUAUUUUUGAUCUAUCAGAGUGCGUGUAAUGUUAUAGAAAUGUGAAAUGGUUGUCAAGUGUUAUAACUUUCUUUUUUCAGCGUAGUAAUACGAUGUAAAUUUCCUUCUUGUAUUUUGAACAGUAUCAUUUCGAUGGAGUGGACUAUCUUGAGUUCGAACCAGUAACAUUUUUACCGUUUCAAAGGAAACUUAUUGACGUGUCGUUGUUGAGCAAGUCGCAGGUCGACUGGUUAAAUAAGUAUCAUGAAAGGACAAGAGAAGUUAUAGGAGCG